GAGUUUGAUCAUGGCUCAGAUUGAACGCUGGCGGCAGGCCUAACACAUGCAAGUCGAGCGGCAGCACGGGGAGCUUGCUCCCUGGUGGCGAGCGGCGGACGGGUGAGUAAUGCAUGGGAAUCUGCCCGGUAGUGGGGGAUAACCCGGGGAAACCCGGGCUAAUACCGCAUACGUCCCACGGGAGAAAGCAGGGGAUCUUCGGACCUUGCGCUAUCGGAUGAGCCCAUGUCGGAUUAGCUUGCUGGUGAGGUAACGGCUCACCAGGGCGACGAUCCGUAGCUGGUCUGAGAGGAUGAUCAGCCACACCGGGACUGAGACACGGCCCGGACUCCUACGGGAGGCAGCAGUGGGGAAUAUUGGACAAUGGGGGAAACCCUGAUCCAGCCAUGCCGCGUGUGUGAAGAAGGCUUUCGGGUUGUAAAGCACUUUCAGCGGGGAAGAAGGCAUGGCGGUUAAUACCCGCCAUGAAGGACAUCACCCGCAGAAGAAGCACCGGCUAACUCCGUGCCAGCAGCCGCGGUAAUACGGAGGGUGCAAGCGUUAAUCGGAAUUACUGGGCGUAAAGGGCGCGUAGGCGGCCUGCCAAGCCGGAUGUGAAAGCCCCGGGCUCAACCCGGGAACGGCAUUCGGAACUGGCAGGCUAGAGUGCAGGAGAGGAAGGUGGAAUUCCCGGUGUAGCGGUGAAAUGCGUAGAGAUCGGGAGGAAUACCAGUGGCGAAGGCGGCCUUCUGGACUGACACUGACGCUGAGGCGCGAAAGCGUGGGUAGCAAACAGGAUUAGAUACCCUGGUAGUCCACGCCGUANACGAUGUCGACCAGCCGUUGGACCCCCUGAGGGUCUGG
rnacentral:rRNA from 1 species